GACGAACGCUGGCGGCGUGCUUAACACAUGCAAGUCGAACGGUGAAGGGACCAGCUUGCUGGUUCUGGAUGAGUGGCGAACGGGUGAGUAACACGUGAGUAACCUGCCCCCUUCUUCUGGAUAACCGCAUGAAAGUGUGGCUAAUACGGGAUAUUCUGGGUCUGUCGCAUGGCGGGCCCGGGAAAGAUAUUGCUUCGGUGGGGGAUGGGCUCGCGGCCUAUCGGCUUGUUGGUGGGGUGAUGGCCUACCAAGGCGGUGACGGGUAGCCGGCCUGAGAGGGUGGACGGUCACACUGGGACUGAGACACGGCCCAGACUCCUACGGGAGGCAGCAGUGGGGAAUAUUGCACAAUGGGCGCAAGCCUGAUGCAGCGACGCCGCGUGAGGGAUGGAGGCCUUCGGGUUGUAAACCUCUUUCGCCAGUGAAGCAGGCCUGCUCCGUGUGGGUGGGUUGACGGUAGCUGGAUAAGAAGCGCCGGCUAACUACGUG
rnacentral:rRNA from 1 species